rnacentral:rRNA from 1 species
UGGGGAAUAUUGCACAAUGGGGAAGACCCUGAUGCAGCGACGCCGCGUGAAGGAAGAAGUAUCUCGGUAUGUAAACUUCUAUCAGCAGGGAAGAAAAUGACGGUACCUGACUAAGAAGCCCCGGCUAACUACGUGCCAGCAGCCGCGGUAAUACGUAGGGGCGAAGCGUUAUCCGGAUUUACUGGGUGUAAAGGGAGCGUAGACGGAGCAGCAAGUCUGAUGUGAAAGGCAGGGGCUCAACCCUGACAGAUGAACUGAUUGGUCUUGUGAGUACCGGAGGGGUAAGCGGAAUUCCUAGUGUAGCGGUGAAAUGCGUAGAUAUUAGGAGGAACACCAGUGGCGAAGGCGGCUUACUGGACGGUAACUGACGUUGAGGCUCGAAAGCGUGGGGAGCAAACAGGAUUAGAUACCC